AAACCGGAGCUAAUACCGGAUAAUAUAUUGAACCGCAUGGUUCAAUAGUGAAAGACGGUUUUGCUGUCACUUAUAGAUGAAUCCGCGCCGCAUUAGCUAGUUGGUAAGGUAACGGCUUACCAAGGCAACGAUGCGUAGCCGACCUGAGAGGGUGAUCGGCCACACUGGAACUGAGACACGGUCCAG
rnacentral:rRNA from 1 species